rnacentral:rRNA from 1 species
AUGGGCGAGAGCCUGAACCAGCCAAGUAGCGUGCAGGAUGACGGCCCUAUGGGUUGUAAACUGCUUUUAUAGGGGGAUAAAGUGUGCCACGUGUGGCAUAUUGCAGGUACCCUAUGAAUAAGGACCGGCUAAUUCCGUGCCAGCAGCCGCGGUAAUACGGAAGGUCCGGGCGUUAUCCGGAUUUAUUGGGUUUAAAGGGAGCGUAGGCCGUCUUAUAAGCGUGUUGUGAAAUGUCGGGGCUCAACCUGGGCAUUGCAGCGCGAACUGUGAGACUUGAGUGCGCAGGAAGUAGGCGGAAUUCGUCGUGUAGCGGUGAAAUGCUUAGAUAUGACGAAGAACUCCGAUUGCGAAGGCAGCCUGCUGUAGCGCAACUGACGCUGAAGCUCGAAAGCGUGGGUAUCGAACAGGAUUAGAUACCCUGGUAGUCCACGCGGUAAACGAUGGAUGCUCGCUGUUUGCGUCUGACGUAAGCGGCCAAGCGAAAGCGUUAAGCAUCCCACCUGGGGAGUACGCCGGCAACGGUGAAACUCAAAGGAAUUGACGGGGGCCCGCACAAGCGGAGGAACAUGUGGUUUAAUUCGAUGAUACGCGAGGAACCUUACCCGGGCUUGAACUGCAGGCGAACGAUUCAGAGAUGAUGAGGCCCUUCGGGGCGCCUAUGGAGGUGCUGCAUGGUUGUCGUCAGCUCGUGCCGUGAGGUGUCGGCUUAAGUGCCAUAACGAGCGCAACCCUUGUUCGUAGUUGCCAUCGGGUUAUGCCGGGCACUCUGCGAAGACUGCCUCCGUAAGGAGUGAGGAAGGUGGGGAUGACGUCAAAUCAGCACGGCCCUUACGUCCGGGGCUACACACGUGUUACAAUGGCAUGUACAGAAAGCAGGGUGUAUGCAAAUACGCUCGAAUCCCUAAAACAUGUCUCAGUUCGGACUGGGGUCUGCAACCCGACCCCACGAAGCUGGAUUCGC